rnacentral:rRNA from 1 species
AUGAAUCAUCAUGAUGGCAUCAGCACCCCCAAUGGCAAGUUCUACCUAGGAGAUGCUGGCUAUGCAUGUUGGCCAGGUGUUCUUCCACCCUUCAGGAAAACCAAGUACCAUCUGAACGAGUUCUCUGGUAGGAACUAUCCUAAGACCCAUUGGGAACUGUUCAAUCCCACAUACUCCAGCCUUAGGGUAACAGUUGAGAGGGUAUUUGGAGCGCUGAAGAAUAGGUUUAAGAUCCUGGAUCAAAAGCCAUUCCGCCCUUACCCUCAGGUCAAGCUUGUUCUUGCAUGUCGUAUCAUUCACAACUGGAUCCUGCAAUGGGGAAUUGAUGAACUUGUGCCGGAGAAGGAAAAUGUGAUGCAUGAUGAGGUAAUCAGCUCCGGCCAUGGUGUGAAGGCGUUUGACAAUAAAGCGUCGAAGAACAAAAAGUUGGAGUGA